rnacentral:rRNA from 1 species
UACAGAGGUCCCAAGCGUUGUUCGGAUUCACUGGGCGUAAAGGGUGCGUAGGUGGCUAGGUAAGUUCGAUGUGAAAUCUCCGGGCUUAACCCGGAAAGUGCAUUGAAUACUAUCUGGCUAGAGGGUUGGAGGGGGGACUGGAAUUCUCGGUGUAGCAGUGAAAUGCGUAGAUAUCGAGAGGAACACCAGUGGCGAAGGCGAGUCCCUGGACAACUCCUGACACUGAGGCACGAAAGCUAGGGGAGCAAACAGG